rnacentral:misc_RNA from 1 species
AACUGACAGUCUGCUUGAAGCGAGUAGCGGGUGUAACCUGCCCCCAGGAGUAAAAGCAAACUUUCUAUUGAUACAUUUAAUCAACUUAUUUAUAACGUUAUAUUCCAAAUACAAACUUGUUCAAUUGGGCAUGUAUGGACAUUCAAAUCACACAUCAAGUUACUGAAUUUGAUAAAGAAGAACUAUUAACCGGAUUAAGAAGCUACAAUGCUCAGUUCGUCGAUUUUAGUAAAAAUGGGCAGCUUGGGGUCUACUGCAGAAACGAAAGCGGCGAAAUGGUAGGCGGAUUAAUUGCUGACAGAAAAGGUCCGUGGCUCUGCAUCGACUAUCUUUGGG